AUACGAGGGGUCCAAGCGUUGUUCGGAAUUACUGGGCGUAAAGCGGGUGUAGGUGGCUUGUUAAGUCAGAUGUGAAAGCCCAGGGCUCAACCCUGGAAGUGCAUCUGAAACUGGCAAGCUUGAGUACGGGAGAGGGAAGUAGAAUUCGAGGUGUAGUGGUGAAAUACGUAGAUAUCUCGAGGAACACCGGUUGCGAAGGCGGCUUCCUGGCCCAGUACUGACACUCAGACCCGAAAGCGUGGGUAGCAAACAGGAUUAGAAACCCUAGUAGUCC
rnacentral:rRNA from 1 species